rnacentral:misc_RNA from 1 species
GAUGAAGAACGCAGCGAAAUGCGAUACUUGGUGUGAAUUGCAGAAUCCCGCGAAUCAUCGAGUUUUUGAACGCAAGUUGCGCCCGAAGCCAUUCGGCCGAGGGCACGUCUGCCUGGGUGUCACGCAUCGUUGCCCCCCCAAACUCCGGUUCGGGCAGGGCGGAAGUUGGCCUCCCGUGCGUGCCUGCGCGCGCGGUUAGCCCAAAAGCGAGUCCUCGGCGAUGAGCGCCACGACAAUCGGUGGUUUUUUUACCCUCGUUCCUCGUCGUGCGUGCCCCGUCGCCCGAACGCGCUCUUGCAACCCUUACGCGUCGCCUCGGUGGCGCUCCCAACGCGACCCCAGGUCAGGCGGGACUACCCGCUGAGUUUAAGCAUAUCAAUAAGCGGAGGA